rnacentral:rRNA from 1 species
UACGUAGGGAGCAAGCGUUGUCCGGAAUCAUUGGGCGUAAAGCGCGCGUAGGUGGCUUCAUAAGUCCGUUGUGAAAGUCAAAGGCUCAACCUUUGAAAGCCGAUGGAUACUGUGGAUCUAGAGUACGGAAGAGGCGAGUGGAAUUCCUGGUGUAGCGGUGGAAUGCGUAGAGAUCCCCAAGAACACCAGUUGCGAAGGCGGCCGACUGGACACAUAUUGACGCUGAGGCUCGAAAGCAUGGGGAGCAAACAGG